rnacentral:rRNA from 1 species
AUUGAACGCUGGCGGAAUGCUUUACACAUGCAAGUCGAACGGCAGCACGGACUUCGGUCUGGUGGCGAGUGGCGAACGGGUGAGUAAUGUAUCGGAACGUGCCCAGUCGUGGGGGAUAACGUAGUGAAAAUUACGCUAAUACCGCAUACGAUCUAUGGAUGAAAGCGGGGGAUGGCAAGACCCCGCGCGAUGGGAGCGGCCGAUAUCAGAUUAGGUAGUUGGUGGGGUAAAGGCCCACCAAGCCGACGAUCUGUAGCUGGUCUGAGAGGACGACCAGCCACACUGGAACUGAGACACGGUCCAGACUCCUACGGGAGGCAGCAGUGGGGAAUUUUGGACAAUGGGCGAAAGCCUGAUCCAGCCAUUCCGCGUGCAGGAUGAAGGCCCUCGGGUUGUAAACUGCUUUUGUACAGAACGAAAAGGUUUCUACUAAUACUAGGAGCUCAUGACGGUACUGUAAGAAUAAGCACCGGCUAACUACGUGCCAGCAGCCGCAGUAA